GCCGGUGUGAUGGAAUGGUAGACGUGCUUGACUCAAAAUCAAGUGUCCUCUGGACGUGGGGGUUCGAGUCCCCCCACCGGCACCA
rnacentral:tRNA from 1 species